rnacentral:ncRNA from 2 species
AGUAACUACUAGGGGUGCCUUAAAUAGGCUGAGAAAAAAACGGCAGCGUUUUUUAACCCUUCGGACCUGAUCUGGAUUAAACCAGCGUAGGAAAGUAGUGGAAAUGUUUC